GCAGCGGCCGAGCGUGCGGACGCCCCGCCAUGGCUCUGAGGCGCAUCGUUUCUGUGUUGUGCACCGGCACUCUCCGCUUCGCCCCGCUGUCCACCGCGCCGGCGGCUCGGGAGCAGACUGCCGCAGGCCGGGAGGCCGUGCCAGGAUGUGGGGCCGCCGAGGCCGCGCGGCCGCCGGUGCCCGUCGUGGACUUCGGCAACACUCAAGAGGCGUACCGCAGCCGGCGCAGCUGGGAACUGGUGCGCAGCUUGCUGGUGCUGCGCCUGUGCGCCUCUCCCGCGCUGCUGGCGCACCACGAGCAGCUGCUCCAUCUCACCAGGAGACUUCUGGGGCAAAGGCUGUUCGAAAAGCUGAUGAAGAUGACCUUCUACGGGCAGUUUGUGGCUGGCGAGGACCAGGAGUCCAUCCGGCCCCUGAUCCGGCACAACAGGGCAUUCGGAGUGGGCUCCAUCCUGGACUACGGGGUGGAGGAGGACCUGAGCCCCGAGGAGGCUGAGCGCAAGGAGAUGGAGUCCUGUACGUCCGCUGUAGAGAGGGAGGGCAGUGGUACGAGUAAGAGGGAGAAGCAGUACCAGGCCCACCGGGCCUUUGGAGACCGCAGGGAUGGUGUCAUCAGUGCCCGAACCUACUUCUAUGCCAAUGAAGCCAAGUGUGACAGCCACAUGGAGACAUUCUUGCGCUGCAUUGAGGCUGCAGGCGGAGCCAGUGAUGAUGGCUUCUCAGCCAUCAAGCUCACUGCACUGGGGAGACCUCAGUUUCUGCUGCAGUUCUCAGAUGUGCUGACCAAGUGGAGACGAUUCUUCCACCAAAUGGCUGCAGAGCAAGGGAAGGCUGGUCUGGCUGCCAUGGAUACGAAGCUGGAGGUGGCUGUGCUACAGGAAAGUGUGGCAAAGAUGGGCAUCGCCUCCAGGACGGAGAUUGAGAACUGGUUUACUGCGGAGACCCUGGGCGUGUCUGGCACCCUGGACCUGCUGGACUGGAGCAGCCUCAUUGACAGCAGGACCGAGCUCUCCAAGCACCUGGUGGUCCCUAACAUGCAGACAGGACAGCUGGAGCCUCUGCUGUCACGGUUCACUGAGGAGGAAGAGCUGCAGAUGACGAGGAUGCUGCAAAGGAUGGACAUCCUGGCCAAGAAAGCCGCCGAGAUGGGCGUGCGGCUGAUGGUGGACGCCGAGCAGACCUACUUCCAGCCGGCCAUCAGCCGCCUGACCCUGGAGAUGCAGCGCAAGUUCAACACGGGGAAGCCACUCAUCUUCAACACGUACCAGUGCUACCUCAAGGACACCUAUGACAACGUCACCCUGGACGUGGAGCUGGCUCGCCGCGAGGGCUGGUGCUUUGGGGCCAAGCUGGUGCGGGGUGCAUAUAUGGCCCAGGAACGUACCCGCGCCGCAGAGAUUGGCUAUGAGGACCCCAUUAACCCUACGUAUGAGGCCACCAAUGCCAUGUACCACAGGUGCGCCAGCCCUCCUUGGCCCCCAGGGCCUCAUGGCUUCCUGGGCAGGGAAUGAGAAAACAGGGCCGGGGUGCUGGCACUGACCCCACAAGACGCCCAUCUGAAGGGGGAGCAGGAGUGAGACUUACACUUGAGGCCAGAACUGAUUAUCUCCUCUGCUUUUAACUUACUGUUUAUUUUUUGAAUCCUCUCUGCUGUUCUACCCUUUCCAAAAACUAUUAAGGUGCAUUUUUAGGACGGAAAAGCCUACCGAAUAAAACCAAACUGGCCCAGGCCCCCCAGCCAGCUCUUGUUGACACUUAGGACAAGGGAGAUGCCCCGAGUGGCCCUCCUGACUUGUAUACAGCCCAUUUGCUUUUCAUAUUACACACCGGGGUCAUCAGCUGUUCUGCAUCUGCUUUUGGUCUGUUUAUCUUGCUAACAUUGUCAUGCAGCAGGGACAGGCGGAACCUGUGCUUUUUCUCUAGGAGGUCAGACCCCUGGCGUCUGCCUGGCUCCUGCUUUCUCCCCGGCAGUACCCUGCUACUUUGCCAGAGCUUCUGAGUAUACCAUGUGUGUACCCGCGUCAGCUUUGGUAUUGUGUAUUCAGCCCCGUGCUCUUGCUUUUCCAUGUAACACCCGUCUGGAUCCUCCCGUGUCGGUGUGCGGGCCCCCGGUGUCAACCCAGCAGCUAGCAGCAUGCCCAUCCCCGUCAUGACGCAAGUGACCUGUAGCACACCUUGUCCCCGUGUUCUCACGGGCAGGGACACAGUUGUGGCACAUUCCUAGCAGCCAAAAUGCUGGGUCCAGGACAUGCACCUUUGCUGCCAGAUGGUAGCACCUUCACACCGUGUGCGGGGGAGGCCCCCCACUCCCGCCAGGCCUUUGAUUUCCUUGUGGACCCCUUCCCAGAAGCGAAGGUGUACGUGUCACGGGUGCCGGGGGCACCGUGCCCCAGCUAGUCCCCUGUCGAAUGUCUAGCCCUGGGUGCUGCUCAUGUUUUCUUUCUUACCUGCGAGGUGCUGAGGAAUGUCAAGUGCAGCCGUGGUCCUACUGCUGUGGCCAUGCUUGGGAGGAGUGGGCUCGCUGGAUGGCCCUGGGCCUGCCUGUGGCCCCUGCAGGUUGGGGCUUAUGUGGCACUCCCCCCAGGUGCCUCAACUAUGUCCUGGAGGAGCUGAGGCACAACACCAAGGCCAAAGUAAUGGUGGCCUCCCACAAUGAGGACACAAUUCGCUUCACGCUGCGCAGCAAAAGUUUGGUAGGAUCCAUACAAGUCAGAUAUAGGAAUAAGGUGAAGUAAAUUCUUAAAAUAUUCCAAUGUCAUUACCACGUUUUUGUGUUUUCCAUCUUCACCCAGGCAGCACCACACGGGGCGGGGGGUGGAGGGGGUGUUUCUAGCCCCAGUCGGCACCUUCCUGGGCUGGAGGCCCCACACAAAGCAUGGCGGCAGUGGCCCUGCCGGCCCCAGCCUUUCCCGGGAGCAGAGCAGGGCACCCAAGGCUUGUGGCUGAGCUGGGCUCUGGGAAGGAGGGAUGAAGGAACGGCCAGGCUGGGCAGCUUUGGGGCGCUGCCUGAUGAGCUGACUGGUCACUCCACACCCACUGUGACGAGGCUCCCUCCCAAGAGUCCCUGCCAGGGUCCGGUCUGACUGCUUCUGUGGGAUGGGUGGGGGGGCCGAGUGGAGUCCCAGCUGGACAGGACUGUUCCGCCUUCUCUCCAUCCCUAGGGACUUCCCAGGCGCUCAUUUCCUGCCUCAGAUGCCCCAUCCUUGUCAUUGGAUGUCAGAGGGCCAGGGGCACCUUUUGCGCUCAGCGCAAAAAGAAAAAAAAAAUAGAUUUAGCUUGACUUUUAAAACAAACACCUGAUUGAGUUGUAAAUCUUAAAACCUGUUUUCCCCUUAGACUUAAAAAUAUUACUCUGUGACGGAAACUUGAUCAAAGCUUGAACCCUCGGGCACCAGGGUCCUCCACUAGACGAGGUACAUCAAGAGACUCCCGGACCCCUGGCCCAGCACUUGGGAACCUGCACCCCUGCACAGUGGCAGGCCCGUGUGGGUCAGCGGUAUGGAAGGUGGCGCUCUCUUAGGUUUCAGUUACGAGCUCAGCCGGCUCUGGUUGGCCACUCACAUUUAACGCAGGGAUCACAGGUAGUCCACUCAGACACCAGCUACACAGAGGACAGUGGGACUCUGAGAGGUGUAGCCUGUCCUCAGAAGGGCUUUCCUGCCUCCUGUCUUCUGAAUCUUCCCACCCACAACAUGUCUGUUUUCACCAGCCUGCUGCCCUGGACAUGGCUUCCCCCCAUCCAGAGUGCCAUCUGAGCACGCUCUCCUCUCUCAUGGCCCCCUGGGCCCGUGCCAGGCUCCACAAAUACCACUGUCGUGGAGAAGGCUCAGCCCCCUACAGUCCAUGGUUCUCUGGAGCCCACAGCAGCUUGGGCUGGCCCUCCCCGAGGAAGCGGUAUAGGUCUCUGAUGCCACAUCGGGGAUCUCAGUCUGAACAGCUUGGGUCAGCUUUGGCCAAGUGGCAAACCAACCCCAAACUCAGAGGCCUGAACAGCAGUGUAUCCCGUGGGCCAGCAGGGUGGGCUGGGCUCAACUGGGGGCUGCUUUUGCUGGCCUUGCCUGCGGUCUGUCUUGCAUCUGCGGUCAGCUGAGGCCUGACUGGACCUAAAUGGCUUUUCAUUGGCACAUCCUCAGUCCCUCCACCCGACUGGGUCUGUGUCAGCAAAGGGGACUGCAUCACAUGUCCAGUUUCCAAUAGGCCAGGCCAGGCUUUGCCUCAUGGUGGUCUCAGGCUUCCAGAAGCCCCGGAGAGGGCAAGCCUCUGCCCACAUCACAUUUGCUAUUGUCCUGUUGGCCAGAGGAAGUCAGGAGGCCCAGCCUAGAUGGCAAGUGGAGAGCCCCCAUCUGCUGGGGGGGAGCUGCAGUCACAGGGCAGAGGGUGCGGAGGCAGGUCAGCAGCCAUGCCUGCGGGAGGCACCGGCAUGUCCCUGCCGCCAGUUGUCAGGAGGCAGCCCUGCUCUAACAGGGUUUGUGGUCCAGGGGGGCCCAAAGAUACCUAAACCAGAGACCAGGGCAACACGGUAGAGAUUGUGGCCUGCGUUAGACUGGGUGGCCCUCACUCUGGAGCCGGACUCUGAGGGAAGGAGGAAAAGGGCUUGUGUGAGGACCCUCAUGCCAGGGGAGCGCGCUCCUGGCCAACAGCCUGGGUGCGUGUGAGGAGAACCCAGGCUGAACGUGCCCCUGGAAGGAGGCGGAAGGAUGAGGGCAGGUUCCAGAGCGCUGGUGCAGAUAGGUUGAGUCUGGACACGUGGAUACAGGAAGCUGGAGGUAAAAAAUGUGGAAAUCCUCAGCAAGUAGACAUUUCAAACCCUGGGAAUUUUUGUAAGAUCCUAUGAGGGGAGGUGUGAGGACAGAUGAUGCUGGACAGAGUUGGGGGCCACCCACCCCAACAUCUGAGCGGCGCUAAUAGAAACGUGAGUUUCAUCUAAUCUAAAUGUUCUCCUACACAAAAAAGAUAGUUAAUUUCAAUAAUACCUUUCACCUGGCCCAGCAUACCCAAAAUAUUACCUGUAUUCAGCAUUUCAGAAAAAGAAUACAUUUUUUCCAGAGUUUCAAAAUUCCAUGUGUGUGUGCUAUUUGCAGUCCAUCUGUUUAGGCCAGCCGACUUCUAAAAACUCCGUGGUCACCAGUGGCUGGUGCUGCUCUAUGGGACAGAGCAGCCGGCAAGGGGAGGACAAGAGACCCAGUCGGGUGGAGGGACUGAGGGUGUGGCACUGAAGCAGAGGGGCUCAAAAUGGGGCAGGGGAGGGCCUCUGAGAGCCUCCCCAGGGCACACCUUGGGGCAGGCUUGCCUUGCUGGGUCAGGGCACCAGAACAGAGGUCGGGACAGACAAGACGGAAGGGAGAGAGAACACAGGGGAAGGGGGAGGACGGAACUUGGUAGCCAUAGGCUAAGGUGGGAAACAGGGCAGAGGCCUGGUUUGGGCAGCACAGAGCCUACACCCCUGCCCAUACCGCAGGGGAUGGAGGCUAAAGUGUAUGCUUGAGGAUCUGGGAGUGGCAGUCAGGGAGAAGGGGCGGUGCGGGGUUCACCUGCUCCACU